CCCUUAGAUGUUCUGGGCUGCACGCGCGCUACACUGAUACUUUCAGCGAGUCCACCACCUUGCCUGGGAGGGUGGGGUAACCUCUGGAAAGUGCAUCGUGAUGGGGAUCGAUUAUUGUAAUUAUUAAUCUUCAACGAGGAAUUCCUAGUAAGCAUGUGUCAUCAGCCCGUGCUGAUUACGUCCCUGCCCUUUGUACACACCGCCCGUCGCUCCUACCGAUUGAGCGAUCCGGUGAAUGUUUUGGACUGGUGUCCGCAAGCGUUUCGCUUCGGACGCUACGAAAUUUUGUAAACCUUAUCGCUUAGAGGAAGGAAAAGUCGUAACA
rnacentral:rRNA from 1 species